rnacentral:rRNA from 1 species
UACGGAGGGGGCUAGCGUUGUUCGGAAUUACUGGGCGUAAAGCGCACGUAGGCGGCUUUGUAAGUUAGAGGUGAAAGCCCGGGGCUCAACUCCGGAAUUGCCUUUAAGACUGCAUCGCUAGAAUCCUGGAGAGGUCAGUGGAAUUCCGAGUGUAGAGGUGAAAUUCGUAGAUAUUCGGAAGAACACCAGUGGCGAAGGCGACUGACUGGACAGGUAUUGACGCUGAGGUGCGAAAGCGUGGGGAGCAAACAGG